rnacentral:lncRNA from 1 species
GAGAUCCAGUGGAUCCUUUUGUUAGGCAAUCUGGGAUUAAGUGACUUGCCCUGAGUCACACAGACAGGAAUUGAGAAGCCAUAUUUGAACUCACUUCUGUGGAAAGGAAACUAGACUGACAGUUGGUGGGGGAAGGGGCAUCUGGGAGUGGCAGUUGGGUCUUGUGACUAGCACUUCCUUCCUGCUGGGGUGGGGAUUUCCUUCCCGGUGUUGGAGGAGAGAGGAGCUUGCUCAGCCCAGACGAGGAUGAAACUGAGGUGAAGUGCCUUGCUACAGAUCACCCAGAUAGAGUCAUCUUGGUUGAGGAGUGGCAAUGGAACUGUGUAAAGUGAGAAUCCUAUUCCUGGUGGUCCAGGGUCUCAAGAGAUGCUUC